UAGGAUUGUACUAGAAGUCUGCAGGCUGACCGGCUUUUUGAAAGAAGAGCUGGAGGCAGCGGCCCAAGGUAUGAUCCAUGAUUGGGGUG
rnacentral:rRNA from 1 species